GUGUAGUACGAUCGCAAGAUUAAAACAUAAAGGAAUUGACGGGGACCCGCACAAGCGGUGGAGCGUGAUCUUUAAUUCGAUGGUAAACGAUAAACCUUACCAAGGCUUGACAUCCGAUGUAGGCUCUCGAAAGAGAACUGUGCCUUCGGGAACAUCGAGACAGGUGAUGCAUGGCCGUCGUCAGCUCGUGUCGUGAGAUGUUUGGUUAAGUCCAUCAACGAGCGCAACCCUUGCAACCAGUUGUAUUUUUCUGGUAGGACUGCCCCGGUAACGGGGAGGAAGGAGGGGAUGAUGUCAGGUCAGUAUUUCCCUUACGCCUUGGGCUAGAAUCGCGCUACAAUGGCCGGUACAAUGCGAAGCGAAGCAGUGAUGUGAAGCAAAUCGCACCAAAGCCGGUCCCAGUUCGGAUAAAAGGCUGAAACUCGCCUUUUUGAAGUCGGAAUCGCUAGUAAUCGCAGAUCAGCAUGUUGCGGUGAAUACGUUCCCGGGUCUUGUACACACCGCCCGUCAAACCAUGAGAGUCACCAACACCCGAAGUCCGCCUCGGCGGCCUAAGGUGGGGGAGAUGAUUGGGGUUAAGUCGUAACAAGGCAUCGGUACGAGAACGUGUCGAUGGAUUACCUCCUUUCUA
rnacentral:rRNA from 1 species